rnacentral:rRNA from 1 species
CAAUAGCGUAUAUUUAAGUUGUUGCAGUUAAAAAGCUCGUAGUUGGAUUUCGGGUAGGAUUUGCCGGUCCGUCUUUGAGAUGUGUACUGGUAAGUCCUAUCUUCUUGUCGGGGACCAGCUCCUGGGCUUCACUGUCCGGGACUGGGAGCCGACGAAGUUACUUUGAGUAAAUUAGAGUGUUCAAAGCAAGCCUACGCUCUGAAUAUAUUAGCAUGGAAUAACACGAUAGGACUCUGGCUUAUCUUGUUGGUCUGUGAGACCAGAGUAAUGAUUAAGAGGGACAGUCGGGGACAUUCGUAUUUCAUUGUCAGAGGUGAAAUUCUUGGAUUUAUGAAAGACGAACUUCUGCGAAAGCGUCUGCCAAGGAUGUUUUCAUUGA